UUUUUCUAAAAUUUCCAAUUAAUUUUUCAGAUUCACAACGCGAGGUUGUGUCCAUCAGGGAACAAAAAGGUAGCACUGGACAUGACAUGGUAGCCGUGAAGGAUAAUCAAUUGCGGAGGCUGGGCCAUUGCA